ensembl:lncRNA
GGAGGAACUCAAGUAUAACUCACUUGGUUCCCCCUCAGGGAUGGAAGAUCAGGGAGAAGGCUUUCUGCACACUUGCUCGAAUGUUCAUCCUCGUGUGGGUAAAGAAGCAAGCUGUGUGUCAGUUCACCACACUGUGGGUGUCAGAAGCUCUGCUCAGGAAACGCAGUCGUGGAACUGACAGCCCGGGUGACGGUGGCUUCCUGGGCCCCCGGGCCUCUUGGGUCCCGAGAUGUCCGUCAUCCUGCCUGCUUAGGAGGAGAGGGCAUGUAGCUGGAAGCGGACAUGGAGAGAGACCUCCAGAAGUCAGGCAACCUUUCAUCCCAGUUCUGACGCCAGGAAGCUGAGUCUAAAAAGUUCCUUAAAAGGAAAAGGCCUGUAAGGGGAGUAAAGAGAUAUGUGGAAUGUUGACUGCUCCGAAAGAAAUCUCUGUCAGAUGAGAAGGGGAAAGGAAAGCGGCCAACCAGGUCGAAGGGCGUGAGUUUUCAGUCGAUUAUUCAUCAUGACUGGAGGAUGACUUGACCAGACUGUCUAUUCCACAGGAAGACUCGCCCUGAGCUCACAUCCGUGCCCAUCUUCCUCUACUUUAUACGUGGGAUGCCUACCACAGCAUGGCUUGCCAAGCAGUGCCGUGUCCGCACCCGGGAUCCGAACUGGCGAACCUCGGGCCGCCGAAGCGGAAUGUGUGCACCCAACCGCUGCGCCACCAGGCCGGCCCUUACUUAGCCUCUUUGAAACUCAAUCUUCUCAUCUGUAAAUGGGGAUCCUACACCAUUAGGUUGUUGUGAAGAUGAAUGUGAAUAAAAUGUAUAUUGAAGUAGUUUGUAAACUGUAAAGUGCUGAGAAAAAACAAUAAUUCAAAUCCCUCUUAGCAGGUAAACCUUACUUGCACGUAGUAAGUACUCAGAGAUCUGUGUUAGGUUACUUAUUAAUUAAAAAUGUUUGCCACGGGAAUGCUGUUCAAUCCCCCAAACGAAUGGUGGGGGUGGGGGGGGUGUCCUGAGCAGUCCUCCAAGGGUCCCGUGGGUCCAUGGGUGGUCUCUGAGGGGGUCUGACAUUGGGUGCAUACUCCCAAUGCCCAGGCUCAUGCCUUGGAACAUCUUCUUCGAUCCCCAUGCGAUAGAUAUUAACCAAGAUUCUCUCACCUCAUGUGGGGCAAAUGAAGCCACGUCGGGACUAAUAAUCCAAAUGUUAGUUUGUUACCACCAUCUGUCACGUAGAACUUAAUCCCAGCAAAGCGCCUUCCCCCAUACUUUUGGGGAGCCCCUGCGGUGGGUGUCCUACCCCCAGGCGCCAGGCAUGCCCUUCCCUGCCCUGCCGUCUCACCCACGCAAAGCGUCCUCCUCUCCCGUAUGCUCACUGGGGGGGUCCCAGCACAGCGACCCUGUACCGCAGCAUCUUAUAGAGUAUUCAGCAAACACUUCUUUUAGCUCUUAGUGACGGCCCUGCCCAGGAAUCGGACAAGGACUCCACAUGAGGGAGUGCCAAGGAUAGAUUCAGCCACCGUCACCACAGUGUGCCCAAGGCUGCUCCUUUCUCCCACACGGACACUUGGCCACUUGGUGAGCUCACGUGCUUGGCUCCUCGCAGCUCGUCAAGAGAGGCAGGCUCCCCGACCCCUGGGGGUCCCCGCAGCUCCCCAGACACGGCCAAAUCCUAGUGCAGGCUCCAGCUUGCACCCUCCCGCUCUACAGAUGAAGAUACGCAGGCUCAGAGGGUCAAAUAACUUAUCCUACGUCAUGAGACCAGCAGGCGGCAGAGAGGAGAGCCAAACCAGAGCAAAGUCCAAAUCCUGUGUUCUUUCUGAUCCAAAUCCCAGAUCAAAGUGGCAGUGACACGUUGUUCUGACCCUGGCUCCAUUCGGGAGGGCACGCUGUGCUGCUCACUGUUUGCUCUACAAGCUGUUCUCCUCCCCAGGGGCUUCAGGCUCUUUCUGCUUGUUUCUAUUGGGAGUUACGGUUUAGGCAUAAAAAAUUGGGAAUUUCAAGCCAUUUCACCUUCCUUCCCAUCCCCAGCUGCCCUCCCAACAGACCUACAAUUUAUCUAGUGAUAUUUGGCUCAUGGUUAAAAGCACCAUGGUGCUUAUACAGAUGACAGAACAAGCAAGUCUUGGCCACAGCUAAGGGCCACCUUAGCCAGUGUUAGUAGAUCUGAGACAAACACAAAUGCCUUGCCUCGGUUCCCAAAGCCCUAGAACCGGCUGCCCUACCCCUGCCCUCUGCUCCAGCCU